GACGAACGCUGGCGGCGUGCCUAAUACAUGCAAGUCGAACGGUCUUUUCUAUGGAAGCUUGCUUCCACUGAGAAGAUAGUGGCGAACGGAUGAGUAACACGUGGGUAACCUGCCCAUAAGAGGGGGAUAACAUCCGGAAACGGGUGCUAAUACCGCAUAGUUUUCUUGAUCGCAUGAUCGAGAAAGGAAAGACGGCCUUUGUGCUGUCACUGAUGGAUGGACCCGCGGCGUAUUAGUUAGUUGGUGAGGUAACGGCUCACCAAGACGAUGAUACGUAGCCGACCUGAGAGGGUGAUCGGCCACAUUGGGACUGAGACACGGCCCAAACUCCUACGGGAGGCAGCAGUAGGGAAUCUUCCGCAAUGGACGAAAGUCUGACGGAGCAACGCCGCGUGAGUGAAGAAGGUUUUCGGAUCGUAAAACUCUGUUGUCAGAGAAGAACAAGUCGGAGAGUAACUGCUCCGGCCUUGACGGUAUCUGACCAGAAAGCCACGGCUAACUACGUGCCAGCAGCCGCAGUAAUAC
rnacentral:rRNA from 1 species